rnacentral:rRNA from 1 species
AUUGAACGCUGGCGGCAGGCCUAACACAUGCAAGUCGAACGAGUGGCGGACGGAUGAGUAAUGUCUGGGAAACUGCCUGAUGGAGGGGGAUAACUACUGGAAACGGUAACUAAUACCGCAUACCAUAAGCUGUGCCCAGAUGGGAUUAGCUAGUGGGUUGGGUAACGGAGCACCAAGGCGACGAUCCCGAACUGGUCUGAGAGGAUGACCAGUCACACUGGAACUGAGACACGGUCCAGACUCCUACGGGAGGCAGCAGUGGGGAAUAUUGCACAAUGGGCGCAAGCCUGAUGCAGCCAUGCCGCGUGUAUGAAGAAGGCCUUCGGGUUGUAAAGUACUUUCAGCGGGGAGGCGUUACCCGCAGAAUAAGCACCGGCUAACUCCGUGCCAGCCGCCGCGGUAAUAC